rnacentral:rRNA from 1 species
AUAACUUCGGGAAACCGGAGCUAAUACCGGAUAAUAUUCGAACCGCAUGGUUCGAUAGUGAAAGAUGGUUUUGCUAUCACUUAUAGAUGGACCCGCGCCGUAUUAGCUAGUUGGUAAGGUAACGGCUUACCAAGGCUACGAUACGUAGCCACCUGAGAGGGUGAUCGGCCACACUGGAACUGAGACACGGUCCAGACUCCUACGGGAGGCAGCAGUC